AGGCUUGGAAAUGAGCCACAGGGUUAGAAUAUUUUCCUGCCACUCUAGACUGCUUUCACAGCAGUGCAGCUUAUGUCAGGAUUGGGGAGUAGGUGAAAGGAUGCUUCCAUGAUGACACCAUGUUCAGAAUGAUGGCCAUGGAGAUGGAUGGAGCAGUGGGACACAUGUUCUUCUGACUCCCCAGGGGACGUUGGAUGCAUCACAGGAGAUGCUGAAGAUAGAGUAUGGAAUUUCUAGAAACCAUCUCUGUUGCCAUGAUUCUUACUCUCUAAAAGGAAGACUGACAUUGAACAAGUGAUUUCAGGUAUGGAAGACAACUAAGCCUGACCCCAGGGUUGACAUCCUGGCCCAAAGCCUAGAAGCAAGGGGUUCGGUCCCAGGAUGAGGCUCAAAUCUGGGAGACUACAGAAAUUCCUCUUCCUGGAUCCACUUGUAGCAAAAGCCCAACUGGAAUCCAAAGUAGAAGUUAAUAAGCAAGCCACACUGUGUACUUAAUGAAGUUUUUAAGUCAAUUACGAAAGUCUCAUUGAUCAUUUGUUAAGGUCUUGGAAUCUUUACAGAUUAAUUUUAUUAAAACCAAAACAACUC